GAUGAACGCUGGCGGCGUGCCUAAUACAUGCAAGUCGAGCGAACGGACGAGAAGCUUGCUUCUCUGAUGUUAGCGGCGGACGGGUGAGUAACACGUGGAUAACCUACCUAUAAGACUGGGAUAACUUCGGGAAACCGGAGCUAAUACCGGAUAAUAUUUUGAACCGCAUGGUUCAAAAGUGAAAGACGGUCUUGCUGUCACUUAUAGAUGGAUCCGCGCUGCAUUAGCUAGUUGGUAAGGUAACGGCUUACCAAGGCAACGAUGCAUAGCCGACCUGAGAGGGUGAUCGGCCACACUGGAACUGAGACACGGUCCAGACUCCUACGGGAGGCAGCAGUAGGGAAUCUUCCGCAAUGGGCGAAAGCCUGACGGAGCAACGCCGCGUGAGUGAUGAAGGUCUUCGGAUCGUAAAACUCUGUUAUUAGGGAAGAACAUAUGUGUAAGUAACUGUGCACAUCUUGACGGUACCUAAUCAGAAAGCCACGGCUAACUACGUGCCAGCAGCCGCGGUAAUACGUAGGUGGCAAGCGUUAUCCGGAAUUAUUGGGCGUAAAGCGCGCGUAGGCGGUUUUUUAAGUCUGAUGUGAAAGCCCACGGCUCAACCGUGGAGGGUCAUUGGAAACUGGAAAACUUGAGUGCAGAAGAGGAAAGUGGAAUUCCAUGUGUAGCGGUGAAAUGCGCAGAGAUAUGGAGGAACACCAGUGGCGAAGGCGACUUUCUGGUCUGUAACUGACGCUGAUGUGCGAAAGCGUGGGGAUCAAACAGGAUUAGAUACCCUGGUAGUCCACGCCGUAAACGAUGAGUGCUAAGUGUUAGGGGGUUUCCGCCCCUUAGUGCUGCAGCUAACGCAUUAAGCACUCCGCCUGGGGAGUACGACCGCAAGGUUGAAACUCAAAGGAAUUGACGGGGACCCGCACAAGCGGUGGAGCAUGUGGUUUAAUUCGAAGCAACGCGAAGAACCUUACCAAAUCUUGACAUCCUUUGACAACUCUAGAGAUAGAGCUUUCCCCUUCGGGGGACAAAGUGACAGGUGGUGCAUGGUUGUCGUCAGCUCGUGUCGUGAGAUGUUGGGUUAAGUCCCGCAACGAGCGCAACCCUUAAGCUUAGUUGCCAUCAUUAAGUUGGGCACUCUAAGUUGACUGCCGGUGACAAACCGGAAGAAGGUGGGGAUGACGUCAAAUCAUCAUGCCCCUUAUGAUUUGGGCUACACACGUGCUACAAUGGACAAUACAAAGGGCAGCGAAACCGCGAGGUCAAGCAAAUCCCAUAAAGUUGUUCUCAGUUCGGAUUGUAGUCUGCAACUCGACUACAUGAAGCUGGAAUCGCUAGUAAUCGUAGAUCAGCAUGCUACGGUGAAUACGUUCCCGGGUCU
rnacentral:rRNA from 1 species